UUGGCCAAAAUUUGGUCAAUUUUGACCAAAAUUGAAACCAUACAGGAUUAGCAUAGUCCCUGGAGAAGCGUAACAUAAGCAUUUGUCAACCAUUCUAUAUUUUC
ensembl:snRNA U6 U6 spliceosomal RNA